rnacentral:lncRNA from 1 species
CCUGUAAAGUAUAAUAGGCUAUCAAAUACCAUCAAUGCUUUAUAUGAUAGUAUCAACUUCUAUGACCUCAUUAUAUAGUCAUCAUUUAAAUUCACAGACCCAAAACCAUACUUAAUAUUUUAAUAUUAAUAUCAUGAAUUACAAAAUCAACCAUUCAUCAUUAAAAGGUUAAAAUUUAAGAGACAAAGAAAAGGCCUUCCCCCUUGAUUUUGGAGGCAUCAAGGAAUUAUCUUGUUCAAAGAAUACACAUGUAAUAAAGCAAAAAACCUGGAAAAAAGGAGGAUUCGAUAAGCUAGGACAUAUCUAAGAAUGUAUAUGUACUCAGGUACACAAGUACAUCCAUAAAUAUAUAUACAUAUGUAUAAUAUAAAAGGGCGCCCGUAAAGUAUAAUAGGCUAUCAAAUACAGUCUAUGAUUUAUAUGAUAGUAUCAACUUUUACAACCUCAUUAUUUAGUCAUCAUUUAAAUCCAUAGACCCAAAAUCACACUUCAUAUUUUAAUAUUAAUAUCACAAACUACAAAUCAACCAUUCAUCUUUAAUAGGUUAAAAUUUAAGAGAGACCUUAAUUUUGCAGUCAUCAAGGAAUGAUCUUGAGUGUAUCUGGGAGAUAUCCAAAUUAUUUUGUUUUAAUUUUGCAAACUAAGAUAAUUUACACAAAUAUCAGACACAUCCAAGUAUCAAAUGAGUAUCAGUAUCUGAUACAUAUAUGACAUAGAACCCAGCAUGUGAUUUGAAGUAGCAAUGCUUCCAAGCAAGACAAAAUAGGCCACACUUAGUCGCUUCAUUUUGAAACAUCCUUUCGAUGCCAACAAAAAGUGCUAAAAACUGUUUCUGGAUAAGCAUCAAAACAAUUUCUUACAUACAUGAGUGCAUGCAUGGACGCAAUGCACAAACAUAGAUGCACAUGCAACACUGAGAGCAUUUGGCCCCGAAUGCUUCCCAAUGAAAAUGAUGGCCCUCUCAAAAUGAAAAUCCAUAGUUAAAUAUUGGUCAUGAUCCGUAUCAUCAAAAUUUUGGCUAGAAACAAAACAUCGCAUGCUUUUAAGGUCUUUUAACCAUGCACCAAAUGGAUACAAAUGAAGGAUUUUAAUAAUAUGAUAUAAUGUUUUGAUUUGAUUGGUAGUCUAGAAGAAUCCAAAUCAGCUAAAUUUUGAUCUGUAAGAUCAAUGGUUUCAGUUUGCAAAUUAUACAGUCUAUGAUAUACCUUUGCUUGCUAGCUAUUGUUCAUUUGGAUCCCGCUUGCAACGUCUUAUUGUUGCACACAUAUGCACUCAAACUUGCACCAUGCAUGCAUCAUAUGCAGACACACACACACAUACACACAGAAAACUAGCAGACAUAUGUGUAUGUCAGUACAUCCAUGACCUGCUAACACAUUGGCUCAUGCAUGCAAACACAAAUAGGCAAAUACAUAUACAUAUAAUUUCACCUAAGUUUAGAGGAUAGAACUUAAUUUUAUGAGAGAGACUCAUUAAUCAAUUAAAACAAUCCAAUACAUCCAUGACGACAUAGAAUGAAUAAAUUCAAACAGAAUCUUUUAUUAAAUAUAUAUUUAUAUUUUGGAGUUGUAUAUAUUAUUAUAUUUAGGCAUAAAAUUUAUAUUUACAUAUUAAGCUUGAUCAAGCCAAUUGCAUGUAAGCUGGAAAUCAUCAAGAAACCAACCCCGACUUUACAAUUCCCAUGAUGACCCUAACUAGAUUUCUCCACUAGACUUGAACCAUGGUAAACUUUUAUAAAAGGCAUUCUAAGAAUUUUGGGCUCUAAGGAAUAUAAAUUGGAAUUCCUGUUAUUGUGUGAGUAAUAGGAAUCCCACAACCUCCAAAAUCCAAAUUCAUACUAGUUUUCAGAUUGUAAUAGAACUUGAAAGCUUAUCUAGAUGAAGAAUGUAGUAUAGUUAACAUAUCUUAAAUAAUUUCAUAAGGAAGGCACGUUAGAACCUAAUCCACACUAAAAUCUUUUCCAAACUAAUCCUAUAUAUAUAUAAUCUUUAGCAACCAUGUGCACCUACAGGCUACAAGUGCAUUAUAACUAGUAUAAUUAUAAAUAGUAUUAACAAGGAUAAUUGAAUUUCUGAACUCACUCCAAGUGGAUGCACAAGUGUAAUACUAAACUUGAAAAUCAUGUUAUCAGGCGCACUACCAAUAUUAGCUUGUAAUAUUUGGAAGAAAAUGCCAAGACGACUUAGUACCAGCGAUUAAGAAAAUCUUUGCAUAUACUUUAAAACAACAAAGUAUAAUAGGAAUAUUGAAAUUUAC